UUUGAUCCUGGCUCAGGAUGAACGCCCCUUUUUGUGGCUAAUACAUGCAAGUCGUACGCACUGGCCCAACUGAUUGAUGGUGCUUGCACCUGAUUGACGUUGGAUCACCAGUGAGUGGCGGACGGGUGAGUAACACGUAGGUAACCUGCCCCGGAGCGGGGGAUAACAUUUGGAAACAGAUGCUAAUACCGCAUAACAACAAAAGCCGAAUGGCUUUUGUUUGAAAGAUGGCUUUGGCUAUCACUCUGGGAUGGACCUGCGGUGCAUUAGCUAGUUGGUAAGGUAACGGCUUACCAAGGCGAUGAUGCAUAGCCGAGUUGAGAGACUGAUCGGCCACAAUGGAACUGAGACACGGUCCAUACUCCUACGGGAGGCAGCAGUAGGGAAUCUUCCACAAUGGGCGCAAGCCUGAUGGAGCAACACCGCGUGAGUGAAGAAGGGUUUCGGCUCGUAAAGCUCUGUUGUUGGAGAAGAACGUGCGCGAGAGUAACUGUUUACGCAGUGACGGUAUCCAACCAGAAAGUCACGGCUAACUACGUGCCAGCAGCCGCGGUAAUACGUAGGUGGCAAGCGUUAUCCGGAUUUAUUGGGCGUAAAGCGAGCGCAGGCGGUUGCUUAGGUCUGAUGUGAAAGCCUUCGGCUUAACCGAAGAAGUGCAUCGGAAACCGGGCGACUUGAGUGCAGAAGAGGACAGUGGAACUCCAUGUGUAGCGGUGGAAUGCGUAGAUAUAUGGAAGAACACCAGUGGCGAAGGCGGCUGUCUGGUCUGCAACUGACGCUGAGGCUCGAAAGCAUGGGUAGCGAACAGGAUUAGAUACCCUGGUAGUCCAUGCCGUAAACGAUGA
rnacentral:rRNA from 1 species